rnacentral:rRNA from 1 species
UACGUAGGGUGCAAGCGUUACUCGGAAUUACUGGGCGUAAAGCGUGCGCAGGCGGUUCGGAAAGAAAGAUGUGAAAUCCCAGGGCUUAACCUUGGAACUGCAUUUUUAACUGCCGGGCUAGAGUAUGUCAGAGGGGGGUAGAAUUCCACGUGUAGCAGUGAAAUGCGUAGAGAUGUGGAGGAACAUCAGUGGCGAAGGCGGCCAUCUGGGACAACACUGACGCUGAAGCACGAAAGCGUGGGGAGCAAACAGG